rnacentral:rRNA from 1 species
UACAUGCAAGUCAACUUGACUUUAGAUAGCAAUAUCGAAAGUAGGGUGGCGCACGGGUGCGUAACGCGUAGGUAAUCUGCCCUGAGGUCUGACAUAACCCGUCGAAAGGCGGGCUAACAUCAGAUGAUAUAUAAUCACGACAUCGUGGAAAUAUCAAAUCUUCGGAGCCUUGGGAUGAGCCUGCGUCUGGUUAGGUAGUUGGCGGAGUAAUAGCCCACCAAGCCUACGAUCAGUAGCUGGUCUGAGAGGAUGAUCAGCCACACUGGAACUGAGACACGGUCCAGACUCCUACGGGAGGCAGCAGUAAGGAAUAUUGCUCAAUGGGGGAAACCCUGAAGCAGCAACGCCGCGUGAAGGAUGAAAUACUUUUGUAUGUAAACUUCUGUAAGAUGGGAAAAUAUUCUCCUCGGGAGAAUUGAUUGUACCAUCAGAGUAAGCCCCGGCUAACUACGUG